AUUCAGAAGGUUAAGAUAAGAUUGUAUAACAUAGGAUUAGAUUAAUUGUAAAUAAAGCAGUCCUCCUUAGAGGGGGGGUGGUGGAGGGAAUAUUUAAGAAAUAAAAAUAGGAUUAAUUCAGAAGGUUAAGAUAAGAUUGUAUAACAUAGGGCUACAGUGAAGAAAUCAAAAAUUUCAAGGCAGCAUGAAGGUAACGCACAAUCAGGGAUGUGCAAUUUCUGAGGCAUGUAUUCAAAAAAAGUAUUUUAAUUGUGUUUUAUGAUUCAUAUUUGAGUUCAUGAAAUAAAAUGUUUUUUUCUACAGA